GGGGAAUAUUGGACAAUGGGGGCAACCCUGAUCCAGCAAUUCUGUGUGCACGAAGAAGGUUUUCGGAUUGUAAAGUGCUUUCAGCAGGGAAGAAGAAAGUGACGGUACCUGCAGAAGAAGCGACGGCUAAAUACGUGCCAGCAGCCGCGGUAAUACGUAUGUCGCAAGCGUUAUCCGGAAUUAUUGGGCAUAAAGGGCAUCUAGGCGGCCAGACAAGUCUGGGGUGAAAACUUGCGGCUCAACCGCAAGCCUGCCCUGGAAACUGUUUGGCUAGAGUGCUGGAGAGGUGGACGGAACUGCACGAGUAGAGGUGAAAUUCGUAGAUAUGUGCAGGAAUGCCGAUGAUGAAGAUAGUUCACUGGACGGCAACUGACGCUGAAGUGCGAAAGCUAGGGGAGCGAACAGGAUUAGAUACCCUGGUAGUCCUAGCUGUAAACGAUGAUUACUGGGUGUGGGCAUGAAGAGUGUCCGUGCCGAAGCAAAUGCGAUAAGUAAUCCGCCUGGGGAGUACGGCCGCAAGGCUG
rnacentral:rRNA from 1 species